rnacentral:rRNA from 1 species
CAGUAGCCGCGGUAAAACGUAGGGUGCAAGCGUUAAUCGGAAUUACUGGGCGUAAAGCGUGCGCAGGCGGUGUUGUAAGACUGAUGUGAAAUCCCCGGGCUCAACCUGGGAACUGCAUUGGUGACUGCAACGCUGGAGUGCGGCAGAGGGGGAUGGAAUUCCGCGUGUAGCAGUGAAAUGCGUAGAUAUGCGGAGGAACACCGAUGGCGAAGGCAAUCCCCUGGGCCUGCACUGACGCUCAUGCACGAAAGCGUGGGGAGCAAACAGGAUUAGAUACCCCCGUAGUCCCUGUCUCUUAUAC